AUACAUCCUUCCAUGAUGUUCAAUGUUAAUAAGAAAACCACAAUUUAUUUAUGGUUUGGUUUAUGUAUACAUAUUUAACUCCACUUUCAUGUUGCGUUUUUAAAUCUGUUGUCUCUGAUGUGAUUAGGUAAAUAUGAAUGUGUCCUUUGUCAUGAAAUAUGGGCACCACUUAAUUGGGUAGUUGUCUAUUAAACGCUGUUCACCAAAACAGUUUUGGUAUUGGUUAUGGAUGAGCUAGUGUCAUUUCUGCUUGUAUCCGCCAACGUUGGAUCUAUAUUUGAAGAUCCAGAAAAUCUUUUGAAAACAUGGCUUAAAGAGUUCCUGUUGGUGGUGAAACGAUCUGAUCCCAAGUUUCUAGCUUUGCAUUGCCAAGAAGUGGGAGGAAAGAACUCGAAAGAUGCUAUGAAACUGGUUGAAGAGUUUGUAAGAGCUCUUAUGACAAGUGAAGAACUACAUCAUUUUGGUCAAAUACGUUUAUUUCUUGAUGAAGAUUACACAAAUCCUGCAAAGUACACGGCUCUUGGAAAUCUAUAUUUUGUACAUAAUAGUCUUAAAGAUGUACAGAUAUGGGAUUUUAAUGAAAAUAAAUUCAAGUCAGCAGCUGGCAAAGAGGUUCAUAAUGGGAAUAUUGAAAAUGUAGGAACAAAGGAGAAAGUAAAAUUUCCUUUGAUAUUAUUUCCAGAGAGUAAGUUUUCUAGAAAAGGUUUCAUGAGAACUCGAUGGAGAAUCGGUUGUGCUGCAUUUGAUCUAGUCAACAUUCAUCUUUUUCAUGAUGCAUGCAAUUUCACAGCCAUGGAGAAGUAUCCUUCAAGGUAUAGUGAAAUCAGACAAACUGCUUUGGUUUAUACCUUGCAAAGGUUUAAUCUGGGUAAUGAGAAAGUACCAUUAUUUAUAUUUGGGGACUUUAACUUUCGUCUAGAUACUAAAGGUAUUAUACAGAAACUUACAAAGAAAGCUGUACCUGUAUAUGUGAAAAGUGCCAAAAAUGAAGUUGAAAAAAUUGUAUAUAAAGACAAAAGUAAUGAAGAUAAGGUUGUUCUUACUUUAGGGAAGAAACAGUUUGAGUUAGAUGAACACGAAGCAACUUUUUUAGGUAAAGAAAAAUGGUUGCAGGAAUUUGAUAAAGAACCUAAAAUUUUUGAAAAGGAUCUUUUUGAAUUUGAAAUUUCAUUCCCUCCAAGCUAUCCUUUUGAAGAAGAUGCGAGUGGAACUAGUUAUAUGAGGACCAGAUGCCCUUCUUGGUGUGAUCGAAUCUUUCUCACUCGGAGUGCAUUGUCACUUAUUAAUAUGACUCCAUUAGAUAAUGGCAAACCUCCUGUUGUGUAUCAGCUAGUCGGUGAAGGCAUGGGCAUGGGUGAUCACAAGCCUGUGAUGUUAUCUUGCAGCCUGCGGUGUUUUCCAAGUAAAAACAACUCAAACCAGCUUCAUGGACCUUAGCACAGAGCUCUUAGAAAUGAGUACAAAACUGAACGAUCUGGCUCAACGAAUAGUGAGCUGUGAAAAUCUAAAUCACCCAGUACAUGACCAUUGAAAAAUCAUCAAGUUAUUUUGAAUAUCAUCAUCCAAUCAGAAUGUCAGCCCUGUGGAUAUAAAUAUGUAUAUUAGUUAGCAUGACAAAAAGCCCAUUGGCCACUUUGCUCAAGAUCUUCAGACCCUUCCUUCAUUUGUAAUUUUUUCAUCAUUUUUUUUAGUUUGAUAUGUUUCAUAUAUUUUUAGUUGAGCAUUUAUAGUUUCCUUUUUUUUAAUCACUGUAUAUAAACAUAUACCUCAAUGUAGAAUUUUAUUUUAUAUUUUGUUCAUUGUAAUGCAGCAGUUAUUUAGAGAAGUUAUGUUCUGUUAUGUGCUUUAUGUUUAUUUUAUUCAGUCAUUUUUACACUUCAAAAUAAUUUUAAAAGUAAUAUUGUUAUAUUCUAUGUUGCUUUUUAGUUUGAAUUUAGAUUUGUUAUGUUUUUCAUAUUUUUAUCUUUAUACGUGUAAUGUAGAAAGAAUUAAUUGCCCAUGUUUCCUAGAUGUUUAACCUAAAUGUGUUAGUGCAUGUAUAAUUUAUAUUGAAUAGUUCAAAUGUCUGAAGACUAAUGGUCUAUAUGACCCUCAGGUUAUUUUAAAAGGAUGUUGGUAGUUGUAGGUAUUAUGUGGUGAGAACGAAUUCUUUUUGAUUUGAGGAAAAAGUAUAAAAUGCAAAUUUCAUAAUGAACACCCUCGUGGUUUACUUCUUUUUGGUUUUAUUUUAAGAAUUUACAAGAAUUUUGGUUUAAGAAGUACAAAAUGUUUAUUUUGUAAAUUCUUAGUAACGUGUCAUCUUAAUAAUACAUUUAUCUGUAUUACAUAGAUUGCAGAAGAUAUUUUUAAACUUCUCAUUGCAGAGUGUUAAAUUAGGUCUCCAUCUACCCAUUUGUUAAUUUACAGCUGAAAUUAAUAGCUAGUUGGACAUCAAAUAGUUAUUAUCAGUUUUGUUGAACAUGAAUAAAAUUUUCAUAUGAAAAAAGUGUCAAAUGUUCAUAUGCCCGUCAUCAUUAAAUUUUUGAAUGAUAAAUUUAUGAUAUAAAAUUUUUUGGGCUUUUUUAUUCUUUGUUUUUCAAAUGGUGACAUUUUAAAUAAAUGUUAAUUAACAUUAUUUUAUCUGUUACAAAAAAAUGGAAAUGAAAGUUUAUUUGAUAAAAGAUACACUGAGUUGUCAGUUUACUGACUUUAAAUGUUCUUAAAUUAAGUUGCAAAUUGUUGUAAGGUAUGUGCAACCAGUGUUGUUAAGUAGAACAAAUGACUCUAAAAGUUAGAUUAUUAUUUAUUGCCCAUUCUGAAAGUGAAAUUAAAAUUUUGACAUUUUUUCUUUGGACUUCCCAAGAGUUGCAUUUAUAGUUUCUUCCAUUUCUUCAUUUUUUAAAAAUUAUUUAUUUUACUCAAGUGGCAUUUGAUUUAAUUCCAUUAAAUUCCAUGUUAUUUUUCCUCCUCCCUUCCCCCCCCCCUUUUUUUUCUCCUUUAGUUUGACUUAAUUUUAAAUCAAAAAUAAUAAUGACCUAAGAAACUAAUGAUAAAUGUCUUUUUAAUGUUGCAGGUUUGUAUCUUAUAUGAGAAUGUUGCUUUGAAACUGCCUUUAUUAUUUAGCAUUAACAAAAAUAGACUGUGAUGUCUCUUCUAUUUAUAAAUUCAUCAAGUUCUUUGUAAUUUAUAGCUCAGUGUAAGGUAAUGUCAUAAUUGUAUACUUAUAAAGCUACAUUGCAAUUUAAAUAAAUACUUGGAAGUUCUUCCUGUUUCUGUUGGCCAAUAUUGCUGAGAAAUCUUAAAAGGAAUAUAUUUCCUCUCUUAUUUUAGUAUAGUUAGUAUUACAACUAACUCUCAUUCUUUGUAUCAUGCAAGUUUUAAAAUUUUAAUGACAUAAUAUGCUGAAGCCCCUUAUAGGCAACGAAUUACUCACAUCUUAGAAUCUUUAAAUUGUCUGAAAUUUUAUUAAAAAGGUUUAUGAUUUAAAGUUACCUGUUUUUUAAAAAAAAUAAGGUGUAUUGAAGAAUAAAUUUUAUUUAACAAUUUAAACAGAGUUUUCGAGUUUAUUUUAAUAAUUUUCCUGAACAGAAGAUUCUGCAAAUUAUAAAGUAUGUUGUUUUCAAUUAGAUUAUAUGACCUUUAUAGCAAAUGAUUAAUUUUUCUAUGUGCGUUAUCAAAAUAAAUGCUAUUGGUUUUUGUUUUGGAAAUAAUGUCAAAUUAGUAAGUCUUUUAGAUGAAGUUUUAAGUUCAUGGAAAGGUUCAGUGCAAAAGUAUAUGGUGUAUUACUGUCAUAUGAAGUUCUUUGACACCACUAUUACCUAGGGUAUGCUUAGUCUUUUUCAAAGUAUGAUUAUUCCAUUUCUCAAAAUAUCAAUUUAAUAUAUUCUACAUUUAUAAGCAAGUCAUAUUCUUGUUGAAUGACUUUUAUUUAUGAAAGUUUUAGUGAAUAGGUUUAUUUUGUUAUUCAUAUUGCUAAUCAAUUACAAUAAGUUAAUCUAAGUUUUUCCUUAUGAUUUUGAAUUUCCUAUACUAGGGGCUCACUUUUAUUCUGGACUAUUAAUCAAUUUCAUUCUUAGCUUCUAGAGAUAUAAAUAUACUUUUUUUUUUUUUUCGAAAAUUAUGUAAAGAAUUAUAUUUUAUAUUGUUUGAGUCUAUAAAUGUACUCUUGGAAGGAAAAAAAAAAAAAAAAAUCUAAACUUUUAUACAGUUUCCUGAACAUCUUAGUCAUGUAUAGUAAAAUAUAUUUUUGUACUUUUUAACAUUUUUAACAUAAAAAGUUCUACUUUUCUGUGACUAAAACUGACCAAGUUAAGAAACUUCAAAUUUUAUUAUUUUAGAUUAAUCAAUAUCCUUAAGAAAAUGCUUAAACACUUUGCAUUAGGUGAUAUAUCUUCUUUGAAGUUUUUAUUAAAUUAGUCUAAAAUAACUAUAUUCAAAAGAAAAUUUCAUAAUCUGGUCAGAUUCAGAUGCAGAAGUGUGGAAUCUUUUAUUUUAUUAAAAAUGUUGAGCUGCCAAGAAUAUUUUGCUAAAUUUGGCUAAUGAAACCAGUAAAGAGAUUGUAUAAAAAGUUAUACAUUGUAUUUUUUUCAAAAGUCCAUUUAUUGACUCAAAAAACAUAAAAUGUAAUUCUUUAAAUAAUUAAAAGUGUAUUCCUAUCCCCAGCAGUUUCAAAAUUUGCUAUUGAGCCGUGAUUAGUUUACUUCUUGUAUAAUGAAAAUAUAUUCUUUUAAUGUCAAAAUUAAGAUAAGUUUUUUAUUUUCUAUUUGGAUUAUUUAUACUACAUUUAGCUUAUAUGAAUACUGAAGUUUUUAGGAUUAUUUCAAUUAUUAGAUGUAUGAGUGACUAUUGACAUAUUUUGUGAGUGACAUAUUUUGACUUUUUCUUUAAUAAUUAUUAAUAAGUGUCUUCAUUUUUUAAAAGAACCAAACUGACUUUAUUUUCAAAUUUUGUUCUUUCUAUAUCUUUAUUUUAUACUGCAUAAUAAAAUCAUUUAAGGAUAUAUAUAUUUUUUAAUUUUAAGUAUUGCAGUUUCUGAGAAAUAUAUAAUUCUUUUUAAUUUAAAUAGGGUUCUUUAGAGGUUAAUAAUAAUAAAAAAAAUCCAAUUAUUCUUUUGUUCUUUAUAUAUUAAGAAAAACAAUAAAAAAACAUAUAUAGACAUCUUAUUGAAUGGAAUUUAGUUCUGUUAAUCCUGUUUCGUUCAGUCGUAAGAAAGUUAUCCAGAACUAUUCAAAAAAUUUAUAUUAAGAAUGUAGUAUUUUAUUUAUACAUUUCACCCCUUUAUUGCAUUUGUUCAAAUAAAAAAAUUCAGGCAUUUUAGAAUUUCUCAAACAAUAAUUCAAAAUUUAAUGAAAAUUUACUUUAUAAGAAAGAUAUUUUACUUUUUGAUGUCCCACAAUUUUUGAUUCAGUUCUCUAUACAAUCUUCUGAAUUUGCGUCUGUCAAAAAUUUCCUUUUUUAUUCAGAUUGCUAGCUAUUUAUAAAAAAAUCAUGGGCAUUUUUAUUCUUGAGAGCUAUAUUAUAAGCUAUGCUAGUUCACACAUGACUAAGUUUGAAUCUCCUUAAAGUACAAGUGUGUAACUUUUUAGUGAUUUUGCAGGGAACUUUUUGUGCCUCAUUUUAAAUGUUAAUUUAAUUUUGCAUGUGAUGUGAAUUUUUUGUAAAUAUUUGUUUCUUAUUUUGUAUGUACCUCUGGCAAUUCAUCAUCUGUUCUUCCAUUGUAAAAUUUUAAUAAUCUACAUAUUUAUAAAAACUCAAAGUUGAAUUUUUAUAAAAAAAAAUAUGCAAAAAAAAAUUCUUUUGCUGUUGUAUUAUUUAAUAUAAUUACCUCAUGUGAAUUUGAAUAUAUGAAAAUGGAGAUGAAAGAUGAAUAGCUUUUGUUUAACUUUUUGAAUUGUUUAUUAAUUCUUUCAGAUUUGAUGCAUUUAUAAUUUUUUAUCAUAAAAUUUUCAUUUGUUAUCAAAAAUUACAGAAUUUUUUUUAAAUGAAUUCAAAGAUUGCCCAUAUUGUUUUAAAUUGAUUUUUGAUUUAUAGUUUUUAUUGCUAGAGAAAACUGAAACACAGUAUCAGCAUUUUAUUUUACAUUUUAAAAGAUAAUCACCCCCCCCCCCCCAUCUUUAGGUGUUUAUAAAUGAGCCUUUAAAAACUCUUGAUGCAUGUAAUAAUCACAGAUUAUUUGGUGUUGGUAGAUGGUUCAGAGGUAUUUUUGUCUUUCAAAACUAUUUCCACUUUAGAAAUAGAUAUUGUUAUCGAAAGUUGAAACAGUAUUGAAUAUUGAAGUUGAAUAGUGGCAAGCAACAAACCUGAGAGGAUUUUUUUUUAAAAACUAACUGAGCAUUUUAAAUAUUACGUAGUUUGAAUAGUUAUAUUUUGAACAAGCUAAAAAUUGCCUUACAGAUUGCAGACUAAAAUUGCCUAAUCUUCCAGAAUAUACCAAAUUUCUCAUAAAAAUUGCUUAUUACAAAAAAUAAGAGAUCUCAAAAUAGUAUUUGAAAUGAAAAUCUGUAAUUCCAUAUUCUUUUUUUUCUCAAAAAAAAAAAAAAUGUUUUUUGAAAAUUAUUGAAAUUUAUCCUUACAUUUUCCAUAUUUGUUGAAUCAUACAUUAUAUAAACUAUUUUUUUUGAAUAAUGAUUUUUACUUUUUUAUCUAUUGAGCAGUAGUUUGGUUUGACUUCUUGAAUUUAAAAU